rnacentral:rRNA from 1 species
AGAGUUGAUUCCCAUGGCUCAGGAUGAACGCUGGCGGCGUGCUUAACACAUGCAAGUCGAACGAUGAAGCCCAGCUUGCUGGGUGGAUUAGUGGCGAACGGGUGAGUAACACGUGAGUAACCUGCCCUUGACUCUGGGAUAAGCCUGGGAAACUGGGUCUAAUACCGGAUAGGAACGUCCACCGCAUGGUGGUUGUUGGAAAGAUUUAUCGGUCAUGGAUGGACUCGCGGCCUAUCAGCUUGUUGGUGAGGUAAUGGCUCACCAAGGCGACGACGGGUAGCCGGCCUGAGAGGGUGACCGGCCACACUGGGACUGAGACACGGCCCAGACUCCUACGGGAGGCAGCAGUGGGGAAUAUUGCACAAUGGGCGAAAGCCUGAUGCAGCGACGCCGCGUGAGGGAUGACGGCCUUCGGGUUGUAAACCUCUUUCAGUAGGAAGAAGCGAAAGUACGG